CCCUUAGAUGUUCUGGGCCGCACGCGCGCUACACUGACGAAUGCAACGAGCUUAUAACCUUGGCCGAAAGGUCUGGGUAAUCUCCAAAUUUCGUCGUGAUGGGGAUAGAUUAUUGCAAUUAUUAAUCUUCAACGAGGAAUGCCUAGUAAGCGCAAGUCAUCAGCUUGCGUUGAUUACGUCCCUGCCCUUUGUACACACCGCCCGUCGCCCCUACCGAUUGAAUGGUCCGGUGAAGCGUUCGGACCGUGGCCUUUGGACGGUUCGCCGUCUGUUGGCUGCGGGAAGUUCGUUAAACCUUAUCAUUUAGAGGAAGGAGAAGUCGUAACA
rnacentral:rRNA from 1 species